CAUUUGAAAUGUUUCUCAUACUCCUACCUCACUGACAAAAAAUAAAAAUUAAAAUUCCCAGUAGGACUGUUAUUAACAAAAGAAAUGAACUAGGUUUUUUUGUGAUAAGUCUACCAAAAAUUCAACUGACAGUAAUAUAACCAAAGGAAGUUACCAGCCAUAAACUGUAAAUUGUAAUGUUGGUCCAUCUCUACUUUCAGGCAUCUAGUAAAGGCAUCUGUAUUAACUGUGCGAGAUUCAGGUACCUGGUGGCUUUCUAUCCCUAAUGCUGGUAUUUUUAUGAAAAAUUUAAUUCGAGGCCGGAAAGCUGCCAUUACAAUUAUUAAGAAAACAAAAUACAAAGAAAUUUUCAAAGAUGAUCUGGAACAACGGAAGUGGCCUCGUCUAGCUAGGUUGGGUAUAGUCUACCAUAUUCAUGAUAUUAUUGGUGCUGACUUGGUUGACUGCAUCCAAACCACAAAUGGAAUCUUGUUGCGACUGCGUGAAUGAUGCGACUGCAUGAUAUGUUGCAAGCAUCAGCUUGUGGGUCAAAGAUUAAUGAUCUUAUUCCUCCAUCUGGAUUAGAUCGACAACCACCACCACCGCUGCCACCACCACCACCACUAUUAACUACUUUAACUUCUACUUCAGUUUGAUAACAAGCACUUGGAGAAUCUCUCGGAUUCAAGGCAGCGGUAUAUUGGAUUUGAGCCAAGAGACUAUCAGUGUGGGCCACCCUACUCUGCCUCUGUUUUACAGUAUUUUCUU